GUCAAGAUGGCCGAGCGGUCGAAGGCGCUGUGUUCAAGACCCACUUGAGUUCUCUUGCCCUCUAAACAAGGGUGUUUCCACAGUAUCGAAAGAUUCUUGGGUUCGAAUCCCAAUCUUGACA
rnacentral:tRNA from 2 species